GAAGGGGGCAGGGCUGGGGUCGGCCUUCAGGUCCAUACAGUGGUGUGCUGGCCCCUCAAUGCCCAGCCAAGGACCCCAUGCCCCUCACGCAGCCAGGGAUCGUGGGGAAGGGGGCUGAGUUUGGGGUUGGGUCCUUCCCAGGGGUCUUGGCUGGCCCAGCCUGUGCCAGGACCAAUGUGCCCAGGCCCGUCGCUGGCAGGCAGCUCUCCAUUCUGACACCACUUCUCUGCCGUCUCCUUGGCAGCGCCCGCGGCUCCAGAUGGGGCAGGUGUUUGGAGAGGGAAUCCUGCCCCUGGCCUGGUCUGUCUCACUGCUGCCCUGUGCUUGGCAUCUCGUCCCCUGGGGGAAUAGGCUGUCCUGAUGCCCGCAGAGCCCCUGGCCCUGACGCUACUGAAGGGUAUCUGAGGCUCCCCCCAGCAAGCCCCUGGUUCCACCACCCAUUCGUGCAUCCUCUUGCACAUCAGUUCUCGUGCACACGUGUCCGUGCAUGCCCACGUUGUAGCAUCCUGGGCCUGCUGUUCCCACCUCUGCUGCAUGAGUCAGAACAGCAUCGGAAGCACUUGGCCGGAUACCCCAAGUCCCGCGGAGCCAGGGCCCCGAGGUCUGCCAGGGUUUCAUUGCCAUCCUGGGAAGUUGGACACGCGACUGGUGGCGUCUACACGCUCUGCGGCAGGAGCGGGGAGGGGUCGGCCCCAGCCCUGUCCUGCCACCCGCGGCUGGAGCCGGAUUGGGCCAGGCCUCUCGUAAAGGGAGCUAGGCCCUGCCACCCAACGAGGAGCCGCCUGCACUCGCUGCUGACAGCCUGGGCACAGCGCUCGUCCUUUGGGCAGGGGCUGGCGGCUGGAGCUUUUGCACAGCAAAGGGUGGAGCUGCAGGGCCCAGGGCCUCUGUACCCCCCAGGGCCCGUUCAGCCAUCUGCCUCCGAGGCCAGCUGCAUGUGUCGGGUUUGUGCCUAAGCCUGUGCACAGGGGGACGGUCUCAUGGAGGCGCAGCCCCUGUCCCCUCUCCACGUGUCCCCCCGACCAGGAGCCCUCACCCAGUGGUGAGUCUGUCCACUGGGGUAGGCAGCAGCCCCUGCACCUUCAAGCCCCGGGAGAUCGGGACCAGCCCUUGCCUUGGCCCAGGUGAGAGUUCAGAGGUCCCAGCUGCUGUGGGCUGGGCUCCGGUGCCACUAACAAGCCAUAGUGUGGGCUUUGCAGGUGUGUGA
rnacentral:lncRNA from 1 species